GUAUUAACUGUGCAGUAACCAGUUUCCCAGGGGUGGUUUGCCUGUUCUUUGCAUUUUGGGAAGGCUGACCCCUGCAAGUUUUCCCAGAUGCAGGAAACUUAACUGCAGAAUUUUGUUGCAGUGAGGAACUGUUUUCUUGCAUUCCCCC
rnacentral:snRNA from 1 species